UUGGAGGGCAAGUCUGGUGCCAGCAGCCGCGGUAAUUCCAGCUCCAAUAGCGUAUAUUAAAGUUGUUGCAGUUAAAAAGCUCGUAGUUGAAUUUCGGGAUUAGUACGCUGGUCGUGCCUUCGGUACGUACUGGUGUUACUGAUUUCUACCUUCUGACGAACCAUCAUGUCAUUAAUUUGGUGUGGUGGGAAAUCAGGACUGUUACUUUGAAAAAAUUAGAGUGUUUAAAGCAGGCUCGCGCUUGAAUACAUUAGCAUGGAAUAAUGAAAUAGGACGUUGAUCCUAUUUUGUUGGUUUCUAGGAUUGACGUAAUGAUUAGUAGGGAUAGUUGGGGGCAUUAGUAUUCAAUUGUCAGAGGUGAAAUUCUUGGAUUUAUUGAAGACUAACUACUGCGAAAGCAUUUGCCAAGGAUGUUUUCAUUAAUCAAGAACGAAAGUUAGGGGAUCGAAGACGAUCAGAUACCGUCGUAGUCUUAACCAUAAACUAUGCCGACUAGGGAUCGGAUGAUGUUAUUUUUAAUGACUCAUUCGGCGCCUUACGGGAAAC
rnacentral:rRNA from 1 species